rnacentral:tRNA from 1 species
UGACUUAGCUCAGUAGGUAGAGCAACUGAUUUGUAAUCAGUAGGUCACCAGUUCGAUUCCGGUAGUCGGC